GCGCUCCAGCUCCAUUUCCCACCUAGCCAUGUAAGCGAGCUCCUCUUCCCACCGACUCCUCACAUUCCUGUGGCGGAGGUUCCUGGCGUGGCCGGUAGAGAGGGAUGGAAGACAGCCACUGCAGGAAGAGCCGAGAAACCUGAGCAGAAGAGGGAGAGGGAGAGAGAGAGAGAGCAGGGGCAGAGAAACGAACACAUACACAUUUAGCAGAGACCGCAAAGCCUCGGAUAAAAGCGGCCAUUACGGCUGGGAAAGCAUGCUGGGAGCUCGGGCGGCUCGCCUCGGAUCCACAGGACGCCGACACAGCCUGGGGUAGGAGGGCCAGAGGAGUCCGGAUACGGUUUCGCCUGGAGCUCUGCCGAUUUGGGGACGGAAACAGACACACUUGCCCCCCUCUGCUGACAGUCAUCUGGGGUGUGUAGGAUCUACUCCCUCCCUCAUACACACACGGAAGGCACAAAAAGCAGUCAGUCAGUAUUCAAGGAGGGACGAGCGAUGCGACUGUGUUCCCGCACACACACACACACACCUUCACACACCGCGUAUCCCUAAGGAUUAUCUAACCCUGCUUGGAAGUGAGAUACUGGGCUGUUCGUGUGCGUCAAUGCAUCAAAUACACUAGUUUCACACAAGGUGGUGUUGAAUUGGACGCCCAGGAGAGGAAAAAAAGGAGCCAGAGCUGGGGGCUUGACGUGCAGCAGCUGACCGGGUCACUGCGGUAGUCUGCAGGCCGACCCUCUCUACUCGCAAGCCGGCUUGCAGAGCCACCAUGGCCGGGUUCAUACCGGGUCUGCUGCCGACAAACCAUUCACAGGAGAAGGAAUUCGCCCAGGCGUACGAGGAUGUACUGGAGCGAUAUAAAGGAAUGUUGGUGUUUUUUGUCAAGAGAUGAAAAGAUUGGGUUGAAAAGACUUCAAACAUGGGGCUCGGAGUGUGUCUGGAAGUGUAAAUUGAUCUUGAGGCAGACAGCCAGCCCAGUCUGCCAGUUUCAUAAUCUGGAUUGUUGAUAUUUUGGAUGAACAAAGCAGGACUUCUAGCUCUGGCCACAUUAUUGGCCUCUGUAUUGCACUGGGUAGGGGCACAUUGCAUGCCCUGAGUACCUUGUAAUGACUUGUGUGCUUUUGAGACACCAGAGGAAGCAGUUUUAUGAAGUCCUGCCCUGCCUGCCAGCUUCAGGGAAUUUUCCCCACAUGGCCUCAUGUUUCGCCCUGGGUUUGCUGUUUGUCCUGUAAAUAUCAAAUCUGCUGCUGCUCUUCAUGUCAGUGUAAAGGUUGGGUUUGUCUCUGAUGUUAAACAAAUAAAAUGCAUUAGAAAACAAACCUUCUCUAACAAAGUGGUGCUUGUUGUUCUUCUG